UCCAGCAUGGUGUAGUGGUUUUUUAGUGUUGGACUACAACUCUGGAGACCAGGGUUCGAAUCCCCAUUCGAGCA
rnacentral:tRNA from 1 species